rnacentral:tRNA from 1 species
AGGGGCAUAGCUCAGCUGGUUAGAGCAUUAGCCUUACAAGCUAAGGGUCCACGGUUCGAAUCCGUGUGCCCCUACCA